rnacentral:lncRNA from 1 species
ACACUAUAAUAGUAGACCUUGGUCGAGUUUCAAUGCAUUUUCAACACUUUGAUAGUUCUCUCUUCAGACGAACUAGCAGAUCAACUAAACCCUAUAAUCUCACAUGGAAUAAAUCCAAAUUAUUUCUACAAUAAAUAUAAAUUGGUCCAAAACAUUAAUGUUUUUCUUCUUCGUAUUUUCUCCACUAUAUUCAGAACAUUAACAAAGUUUGGCAAAUUUUUGCUGAAUGAACACAGACCUCCUACUUAUACUUAUAUUUAACAAAUAUAAAACAUUUUCCGUGUUGAUAUACAGUUAUAUCAACACGAGUGGAAUUGGGAAAACGAGAAAUUGUGUGGAAACACGACGCCCGAAGGGCGGAGUGUUUUCAUACGAUUUCGAGUUUUCCCAACUUCCACGAGUGUGAAUCAUAUGUCAAUCAUAUCAAUAUGUCAAUAUGUCA